rnacentral:rRNA from 1 species
ACCAAUAAGCGUUGAAAAGCUUCUGGAUGACCUGAGGGUGGGGGUGAAAGGCUAAUCAAACUUGGAGAUAGCUCGUACUCCCCGAAAUGCAUUUAGGUGCAGCCUUGACUUAUACUGGCAUGAGGUAGAGCGACUGAUAAGAUGCGAGGGCUUCACCGCCUAUCAAGUCUUGACAAACUCCGAAUGCGUGUCAGUUCUAUGUCAGGAGUGAGGGCAUGGGUGCUAAGGUCCAUGUCCUAAAGGAGAACAAUCCGGACCAACAGCUAAGGUCCCGAAAUGAAUACUAAGUUGAACUAACGAAGUCAGAUUGCUAAGACAGCUAGGAUGUUGGCUUGGAAGCAGCCAUUCAUUUAAAGAGUGCGUAACAGCUCACUAGUCGAGGAGUUUGGCGUGGAUAAUAAUCGGGCAUAAGUAUUCUACCGAAGCUUUGGGAUGAGAAAUCAUCGGUAGGGGAGCAUUCCACUCGGCGUCGAAGGUGAGGCGCGAGCCUUGCUGGAGCGUGUGGAAAAGCAAAUGUAGGUAUAAGUAACGAUAAGGCAGGCGAGAAACCUGCCCGCCGAAAGACUAAGGUUUCCUGAUCAACGCUAAUCGGAUCAGGGUAAGUCGGGUCCUAAGGCUCAGCCGAACGGCGAGGCCGAUGGCAGAACCGGUUAAUAUUCCGGUACUACCUGUGGGAGUGACGUGGAGACGGAGUCGUGACAGCGCCGCGGACUGACGGAAUAGUCCGUUGAAGGGUGUAGAUGCUGAUUGUUCCAGGCAAAUCCGGAGCAAGAGUCGAACCUGAUAGUAUGGAGCGUUCUUAGAACAAUCCAAUAGUGCGUGUAAUCAUACUUCCAAGAAAAUCCGCUAAACUUAAUCCUGCAGGUACCCGUACCGCAAACGGACACACGUAGUCGGGUUGAAUAUACUAAGGCGCUUGAGUGAUUCACGGUUAAGGAACUAGGCAAACUGACCCUGUAACUUCGGGAUAAAGGGUCCUCGCUUAACGGCGAGGCGCAGAGAAUAGGUCCAGGCAACUGUUUAACAAAAACACAGGGCUGUGCAAAAUUGAAAGAUGAAGUAUACAGCCUGACACCUGCCCGGUGCUGGAAGGUUAAGAGGAGAUGUCAUCGCAAGAGAAGCAUUGAAUUGAAGCCCCAGUAAACGGCGGCCGUAACUAUAACGGUCCUAAGGUAGCGAAAUUCCUUGUCGGGUAAGUUCCGACCUGCACGAAUGGUGUAAUGAUCUGGACGCUGUCUCAACCGUGAGCUCAGUGAAAUUGUAGUAUCGGUGAAGAUGCCGAUUACCCGCGAUGGGACGAAAAGACCCCGUGAACCUUUACUAUAGCUUAACAUUGAAUUUGGGUAAUUGAUGUGUAGGAUAGGCCGGAGGCUUUGAAGCGGGCACGCCAGUGUCCGUGGAGCCGCUGUUGAAAUACGGCCCUUUGAUUAUUUGAGUUCUAACCCGUUGUUGCGGGGACACUGUUUGGUGGGUAGUUUGACUGGGGUGGUCGCCUCCAAAAGUGUAACGGAGGCUUCUAAAGGUGCCCUCACGACGAUUGGUAACCGUCGGCAGAGUGUAAUGGCAUAAGGGCGCUUGACUGGGAGACUUACAAGUCGAUCAGGUAGGAAACUAGAGCAUAGUGAUCCGGUGUUUCUGUAUGGAAAGGACAUCGCUCAAAGGAUAAAAGGUACUCCGGGGAUAACAGGCUGAUCCCUCCCAAGAGCUCAUAUCGACGGAGGGGUUUGGCACCUCGAUGUCGGCUCGUCACAUCCUGGGGCUGGAGAAGGUCCCAAGGGUUGGGCUGUUCGCCCAUUAAAGUGGCACGCGAGCUGGGUUCAGAACGUCGUGAGACAGUUCGGUCUCUAUCUAUCGUGGGCGCAUGAAAUUUGCGUGGCUCUGACACUAGUACGAGAGGACCGUGUUGGACUGACCUCUGGUUUACCGGUUGUGCCGCCAGGUGCAUUGCCGGG